AUUGAACGCUGGCGACAGGCCUAACACAUGCAAGUCGAACGGUAACAGGAAGCAGCUUGCUGCUUUGCUGACGAGUGGCGGACGGGUGAGUAAUGUCUGGGAAACUGCCCGAUGGAGGGGGAUAACUACUGGAAACGGUAGCUAAUACCGCAUAACGUCGCAAGACCAAAGAGGGGGACCUUAGGGCCUCUUGCCAUCGGAUGUGCCCAGAUGGGAUUAGCUAGUAGGUGGGGUAACGGCUCACCUAGGCGACGAUCCCUAGCUGGUCUGAGAGGAUGACCAGCCACACUGGAACUGAGACACGGUCCAGACUCCUACGGGAGGCAGCAGUGGGGAAUAUUGCACAAUGGGCGCAAGCCUGAUGCAGCCAUGCCGCGUGUAUGAAGAAGGCCUUCGGGUUGUAAAGUACUUUCAGCGGGGAGGAAGGGAGUAAAGUUAAUACCUUUGCUCAUUGACGUUACCCGCAGAAGAAGCACCGGCUAACUCCGUG
rnacentral:rRNA from 1 species